CCUACGGGGGGCUGCAGUGGGGAAUAUUGCACAAUGGGCGCAAGCCUGAUGCAGCCAUGCCGCGUGUGUGAAGAAGGCCUUCGGGUUGUAAAGCACUUUCAGCGGGGAGGAAGGCGGUGAGGUUAAUAACCUCAUCGAUUGACGUUACCCGCAGAAGAAGCACCGGCUAACUCCGUGCCAGCAGCCGCGGUAAUACGGAGGGUGCAAGCGUUAAUCGGAAUUACUGGGCGUAAAGCGCACGCAGGCGGUCUGUCAAGUCGGAGGUGAAAUCCCCGGGCUCAACCUGGGAACUGCAUUCGAAACUGGCAGGCUAGAGUCUUGUAGAGGGGGGUAGAAUUCCAGGUGUAGCGGUGAAAUGCGUAGAGAUCUGGAGGAAUACCGGUGGCGAAGGCGGCCCCCUGGACAAAGACUGACGCUCAGGUGCGAAAGCGUGGGGAGCAAACAGGAUUAGAUACCCCUGUGUC
rnacentral:rRNA from 1 species